rnacentral:rRNA from 1 species
AAACCAACAGGGAUUGCCUCAGUCACGGCGAGUGAAGCGGCAAAAGCUCAAAUUUGAAAUCCCCCCGGGGAAUUGUAAUUUGAAGAUUGUGUUUUGGAGACGACCGUGUCUAUGUUCCUUGGAACAGGACGUCACAGAGGGUGAGAAUCCCGUGCGGCACGGCCACCGUCUCCUUAUAAAACACUCUCGACGAGUCGAGUUGUUUGGGAAUGCAGCUCAAAGUGGGUGGUAAAUUCCAUCUAAAGCUAAAUACAGGCGAGAGACCGAUAGCGAACAAGUACAGUGAUGGAAAGAUGAAAAGCACUUUGAAAAGAGAGUGAAACAGUACGUGAAAUUGUUGAAAGGGAAGGGCAUGCCGUCAGAUUGUCAAUGUGGGUAAGAAGCGGGGUAUAAAGACUAAGGAAUGUGGCCCUCGGGUGUUAUAGCCUUAGUUCAUCCCCCGUCUCUUUCCGAGGCCUGCUUUGAG